AUAACUGAUAACAUAUUAUAUAUUUUUUAAAAUGGUAACCUUGAAAAUAUUAGUGACCUUGAGUAGGGAACCGGCAGCUAGAUACUUGGUGGUAUGACUUAUAAUUUCAAUAAGAAAAAGUUGAGUUUAAUAUUUUAUUUUUAUAUGAAUUUUAAUAUCAAAUGUUGAUGAAAAUAAAAAGUAUUAUGAUCUUUUGAACAUGUGUAACUCUGCUCAGAAUCGUUUUCGUUAGCAAAGAUUAAUCAUUGCAUAUAUAUAUAUACAUUAAAUUUCUCUCUAUAUCCUACCUUCAUAACUUUUCACCAACAUCAAUAGCUCACCCAUCAUGCUAAGUAUGUCAGUCUUUUUUUUAUUUGAGUACCUACUGAUAAAUUUAAAUAGACAUUUUUCAGUUUUUGGGAUAAAAGAUGGCUUAGGUAGUCUAAAAAAUUAUUUAUUAGACUAACCACUAACCUGUGUUAUUUGCAUUAUAAAACUAUUUAUUUAAAAACCAUACUUACAACUAACUGAAAAAUUUGGUCCC